CAGUAGCCGCGGGAACACGAAGGGGGCUAGCGUUGUUCGGAAUUACUGGGCGUAAAGGGUGCGUAGGCGGCUUGACAAGUCUUGUGUGAAACCUAUGGGCUCAACCCAUAGUCUGCACGGGAAACUGUCGGGCUUGAGAAUGGGAGAGGUGAGUGGAAUUUCCGGUGUAGCGGUGAAAUGCGUAGACAUCGGAAGGAACACCUGUGGCGAAAGCGGCUCACUGGACCAUUUCUGACGCUGAUGCACGAAAGCUAGGGGAGCAAACAGGAUUAGAUACCCCCGUAGUCCCUGUCUCUUAUAC
rnacentral:rRNA from 1 species